CGCGGGGUUGAGCAGCCUGGUAGCUCGUCGGGCUCAUAACCCGAAGGUCGUCGGUUCAAAUCCGGCCCCCGCAACCA
rnacentral:tRNA from 1 species